AUACGGAGGGCGCAAGCGUUGUUCGGAAUCAUUGGGCGUAAAGCGCGUGUAGGCGGCUUGGUAAGUCGGGUGUGAAAGCCCGGGGCUCAACCCCGGAAAUGCAUUCGAAGCUGCCUGGCUAGAGUUCCGGAGAGGAAGGCAGAAUUCCCGGUGUAGAGGUGAAAUUCGUAGAUAUCGGGAGGAAUACCAGUGGCGAAGGCGGCCUUCUGGACGGCAACUGACGCUGAGACGCGAAAGCGUGGGGAGCAAACAGGAUUAGAUACCCCGGUAGUCC
rnacentral:rRNA from 1 species